ACUGCCUGGCCUCCCGAUGCUGGGGAGCACCCCUCAAGCCCCCCCUCUGCAUCCCCCGAGGAAUUUGGCUCGUGCAAAUUUAGUUCAGCGCUAAGUGCCUGCUGCCUGUGCCCCCCCCCCUUCUGUCUGUCUGUCUGUCCGUCCUGUUCCCAGGGCAGGGGAAGCGGAGGCGCUGGGUGGAAGUGCAUCACGGGGACACGCCACAGAAAAAGGGNNNNNNNNNNGGUGGGUGGGGAGCAGAUCCCAGUCCUGGCACGGGUUUCUCAGCCUCUUGUCCCCGUCCCCUUCCCGUUUUCCUCUGGAGCAUCCCGUACUGUCUGGGUGCCGCUGGGAGCACAGCUCGGGGUGUUCCUCCUCCCCGGCUCUGUCCCUAUUUUUGUUUUUGCUGGGGUUCUGCCUGUGCUAACAGAGCCCAGCGAGCCCUGCUGCCUCAGAUUUUGCUCCAGCCUCACCUUCAGGCUUGAUUUUUCCAGCCCUGGGGAUGCUGGCCCUGACCCAGCCCCGUUCCCAGCACUGGCAGUGACACCAGCAGUGACACUGGUGCUGCGGGAAGGAACUGGUGUGGGGCAGGCAGGCUCAUGGCCAUGUCCCCCCUCCUUAAGGGAACCUGCAGGUCCCGUGCCAAAUUUCGUGGCUUUGUCCCUGGUACAGCCUCCUGGAUGUACGAAGGAUGCAGGGAGCUGGUGCAGGUCCCUGGGGUUGCUCAGGCUCCUCAGCACAAGCUUUUGGGGAGCCCGGGUCCCAUUUAGGGUGGGCUGUAGGGCCCGGGGGAUGCUCGGCCCUCCGGGAAGGGGAGAGGGCAGAGGUAAAAAUAACCCCCUGUGCUGGCUCCGGUCCUUGUGGCUUCCUGCAAUUUACAGCCCUUCCCGGGGGAAGAGGAGGCAGGAACCUGCCUGGCUCCGAGCUGGCUUUGACCCUUUCGCCACCGACAGAGGAGGCUCUGGGACCUUUCCUCGCUGUGGGGACCCUGGGGAAGGGGGGAUCGCGGGGGGCUCCUGCUCUGGAGCUGGGCUCAGCGUCUCCAGGGCAGGUGGAAAGGGGAAAAGCUGGUGGGGUGGGUGAGCUUCCACCCUCCUGCUCCUCAUACAAAGGGNUGUGAGGGGUGGACAGGGUGGUCCCCUCCUAAAAGGAGGCAGAGAUUGCUGCUACCAGCCCCCGAGGGGCAGAGGGUGGUGGGGAGCCUGGCCCUAAAUCUGGAUCCCAUAGGGAGGCAAAAAGGGCUGGAGAGGAGCUGGGGCUGCAGGAGGAGAGGGGUUAAUGCCGGCUGUGCGGGGUUUGGGGUGCACAGGCUGUAGGAACGGGGACCCCAAGGCCAGCAGGGUGCUGGCACGCGGCCAUGCUGACGGGGCUGGGCCGGGAGGGGUUAAUGGGGUGGCUCUUCCUCCCCCUCUAUAUGAGGCUCCUGUGGCUCUGGGCUCAGUUUGCUGCUGGCGGCUGCGGGGACAGGAGCAGCGGAGACCAACACGGAGCCACCCCUGACCCCUGCGAGGGCCCAGGUGAGCGAGAGCAUCCUCUGCAUCCUCUGCUGCUGGGUAUGGGGCUGGGGGUAUGGGGAUGCUGGCACCCUGCGCCCCGUGAAGGGUGACGGGACCACGUGUGGGGGCAGCAUCCCUUGAACCGCCCCAGAGCUCAUCCCGAAACCCGGGGAGUUUUGGGAGUUUGCAGCAGGACAGCUCCGUGCCUCAGUUUACCCGGCUGUAAUAUGGGGGGGCUGCGUGUCGGGGCCGAGGGCUCCCGGCUCUUUGCUCUCUGUUAGUUCUGCCCGUCCUCACCACGUCCCCACAGCAGGCUCCUCACGGCCAUUUGGGUUUCUGCUGAGGGCCACCAUCUGCUUCGGGCAUUUACAGCCCCCGGCCAGGCCCCACCUCCACCGCCCGAUUUAUGGCCCUGGCCCCGCACUGCUGCCNNNNNNNNNNACCGCCCGAUUUAUGGCCCUGGCCCCGCACCAUCCCCAUCCUCUGCUGAUGCUCGGGUAAAGCUGAGCAGGAGCCGUGCCCGCAGGGCUCACAGGAGCCCUCUGCUCCUUGAACCCCACAAACGGAGGUAGGAGAGGCUCAGAGGAUCUCUUAUCCCAGCGCUCGGGAUCCCCGUGCUGCGGAGGGACCGGGGAGACCGGGCUGACCCCACUGCCCCCACUGCCGCCCGU
rnacentral:lncRNA from 1 species